UUUUCUGAAACAUCGAUUGAAAAGGGCGAAAACAUGAAAAGAACAAACGCAUGCACUUUUCUAAAUGAAGACAUAAAUAUGUCCUUUUCAUUGAUUGGAAGCUCGAUUUGCUGCUUGACCGAGCACGAGCAAGGCUACUACUGAUCGGCAGAAAAAACAGCCUAGAAUCUUUGAGAGAACACGAUCGAGAGAGAGAGGGAGAGAGUUUCGUUUAGGAGGAGUAACUAGGAAAAGUCGAAGCUCAUGGGCGUGACAAUUGGCCGGAUGUGUUUUCCAUUGUCCAAGUUUUGCGGCCUGUCCUGUGGCAUGCUUUUCUUUUUAUACCGAACCUUCGAUCGAUUUCGUAGGAAACGGCUGGAAAACUUGGACAUUGUUAGAUACGACGUUAAAGGGACUUGUCGGUUUGCUAAAUACCUAGCGAUAACUUUUCUUUGUUGAAAGUGUCUGAAAAGAUACACGCACGUACACGCACCGAAGCUUUAGAGGAUCAUGAGACAAUAGGAACAGACACAACGAUGAGCUUCCAUGCAAGCUAUUACCUCACUUCCGCUAACACAAAUCUGCACUUUAGCGGCGUAAAGCUGACACGAUGUUUUUAGCUGAAUCUCCGCCUACCAGAGAACGACUUAUUCAACCCUCUGAUAUAAGCACGAUAUCGUGAUCGUAUCGUUAGUGUUUUCAGGCAAAUUAAUUAUAGUAAAUUACUUAACAGUAAAUUGUACUCAUCGGAAGCUUCUACUUUAAACUACAAAACAAGUUCUUUAACCAUUUAAAAGCUUAAUGAAGUUGGUUCCUUGAAUGUUCCUUCUUAGAGAUUAAUUAAAUGCAAUAGUGGAGGCAAUAUAACAUCUACUCGCAUGCUUAUUGUGUUCGAGUGUUAUUACACGAAAUGCAUCAGCCUUGACUAGUGACAAGUUCAACGAGAUCUUUUCCAAAAAGUUUUCGUCACUCGUACGAUUUCUUUUUAUAAAAGCUCGUGUGUGUCAAAUAAACCAUAUUUCUCAAAAAAUGACCUUGGAAUAAAUCCAAGCGAAAAUGUUAUUGUGCAAGAUAUUCUUUGCUAUAGGAAUUUUAUUUUAUGAAUGCUAAGAAAAUCUUUUCAAAAUUUGCAGCGAAUGAGAUGACCUUCGAUAUAUUGUUAAAAAAAUAUUACAGAGAAAAUCAGUGUAUAAACAGUAAACGAUUGGAUAGUUGCCAAGAAUCUUCAGAGAAGUACUUCGCAGGAAGACUCUCGUUGCGUUCACUUACCUUCAGGAGGGAAAUCUUUGGUGGUUCUGAAAGUAGGGGUACAUUUCACCCCUACUGCUACUGGUAGCAGCGUUAUCGACCACUGUCGCAAAAGCCACGCCUUUGCCCAGACGACUGUUAGAAGUGAGCCUUCUCCUUAAAUACGAUAUUAAAGAUCUUAAAAGAAGAGCGUCUGUAUCGCUGAACAUCGAUCAAUUGUUCUCUCUCUCUCUCCCUCUCUCUUUCGAGAAAGAAAGAGAGUUCGAUGGAUUGGCUUUUG